rnacentral:rRNA from 1 species
CCUACGGGUGGCAGCAGUGAGGAAUAUUGGUCAAUGGACGAGACUCUGAACCAGCCACGUAGCGUGAAGGAUGACUUCUCUAUGGGUUUUAAACUUCUUUUAUAUGGGAGUAAAACAGGGUAUGCAUACCCUCUUGUAUGUACCAUAUGAUUAAGGAUCCGCUAAAUCCGUGCCAGCAGCCGCGGUAAUACGGAGGAUCCGAGCGUUAUCCGGGUUUAUUGGGUGUAACGGGAGCGUAGGUGGAUUGUUAAGUCAGUUGUGAAAGUUUGGGGCUCAACCGUAAAAUUGCAGUUGAAACUGGCAGUCUUGAGUGCAGUAGAGGUGGGCGGAAUUCGUGGUGUAGCGGUGAAAUGCUUAGAUAUCACGAAGAACUCCGAUUGCGAAGGCAGCUCACUGGACUGCAACUGACACUGAUGCUCGAAAGUGUGGGUAUCAAACAGGAUUAGAUACCCUAGUAGUC